UAGAGUACUUUUUCAAAAGGUCCUAUGCGCCAAAAGUAAACAAACUGAGUUAUACAAUGCAUGACGUUCUGCAUAUCCGAAACUACACUAUCCUCAAACCCGAUUUCUUCUAAGUAUUUAAUUUUUAAAAUUAUUAGCGAAAUGCAAAAUAACCUAUGAGCAUUCUCUUAAAUUUUCAUACAAAAUAAUUUACGUCGUUUUACCUCUCAGUGUCCUAUGUGCAUUCAGUAAAAUGAUGCACAUACGACAAUAACAAAUCGACCUAUGUACAAUUUUAAAUAUAUUUCAAUCAUUAUGCACAUACGCUAAUAUAAUAACGACGUAUGUACGCAUUUUAUUGAAUAAUUAGAAAGUAAUGAUAGAUUUUUUUAUAUCCAUAUAUCUUUUUAAAAAUAAUGUUUGCCUAGGUUCCGGUUAACGUGUAGACGUCAGCUGUAAGAGAGUAUGAAAUGUUUCAAUGCCUGACACAGCAAAAGAGAAGAGCAAAAUUUAACCAAUGAGCUCUCUCUCCCGAAUCUGGCGGAUACGACUCCCAGCAUGACAUACCAAAACAACUCAUAAAACAGCAUAAAAUAUGUUUUUUGUUUUGGUUGAUAGGAUCCCGGACAGAUCAUUGUUGUGGACUGUCUGAGUUUUUAAAGAAAAGUGUCGGAGGGCGAAGGAUUGCGGCAACAAAAAAAUACGCACUGCUUUACGGUACCUGGUCCCCCGACAACGACCAACCAAGCGGCGGCGGACGUGGUACGGAGGACGCUUCUAGAAACCUUAAAAAAGAGCGCGCCAUCCGCUUCGUGGUCAUGGUCUGUCAGAGAACCUCAAGACGAACGUCGAGUACAUUAAGAUUGCCGGAACCCGGGCGGAUCGGCUAUCAACAACUUCGCCAACGGCAAACUCAUAAUUACGCACGCAGAUGCAGGUCGUCUGGGCCGCUUGGGACAACGUGUCCGAGAAUCCAAAAAUGCACGAGCUGCUGAGACUAGUGUUUCUGAGGCCACCGGAGUGGGCGGAAACAUAGAGGUUGCGGCGGUUAAGGGGUUACAUACAUGUAGAAAAUCACAAAAUGUCAUAUUACAGAUUUUUUUUGAAUCCACUAAAAGAUGAUUAGGAAUAUUUUUUUCUGUGUAUAUUUCGGCAGUGAUACAACCAAAUGUCUUCAAAUAUGUUUUGAUAAUAGAUGAAAAUGUGUAUUUUAAUGCCCUGAUAACAGUUUUUUAAUAAAAUUAAGUGUGUGCUCACACCAACCUCUGACUUUUUUUUAUCGAUUUACAUGUAUGUAACAAAGGCUCUGCAGAAGCGCUCCGAUCACGACGUGUUGUUCCUGACUACGCAGGGUAUCGUCCAGCUGGAGCAGCGUCACCGUAACGGAAUACGCGGUCGCAUGGCGGCCGUGCACGAUCUGUCAGUACUACGCCGUGGUUUUUCAGUUCCAGCAUGGACACUACGACAAGUGCGUCGCGGCUUCGUCGUCGUGAUGAUCUUUUCUCACAGCCAGCCAUAAACGAACUGGUUUUACGGAGGAAUUGGCUGCUAAUCUGAGCGAACUUACCUCGCUGAAGAAUCGCUUGUGACUCUUCGCGCUCGACAGGUCCUAAUAGCUGCUCAUCAGCCAGCUUAAGAACUACGUCACAACCAGAUAAAGUCCAUCUGUCUGUCUAAGAGCACGAAAACCUGCAGUGGUUGAUCUUUUCGGAUGUUUCCAUCUUGGAUAUUCCGCACGACUACCUUUCGACCUUUCUACGACUACUCGUUUCUACCUUUCUUAUCGUGCAGUCUGCAAUGCAAUGCUGGAUUACGUCCAUUGGGCGUACUCGUCCUAUGAUUUGACCUGCCUGCAGCAUCUGGAGCUGUCCGGCAAAGUCGUUCAUGACCCUGGCAGUUUAGCGGCGUUCGAUUCAUACGAGCACUUUACCCAGUACUCGGAUGAGAUCCUGGACUUGCUCGGGGACAUGACUUCGAGGCGCGCGAUUCGGACCGCCGCAUAAGCAUCUCGAUCAACGCAAUUGAUUCCAGUUUUGUGCGACUUGCGCUCUUCAAGUCCCAAGCUGACCUCACCCCUCGGCCAAGCAACAGCCGUAGAACCCGUUCGAAGAUCCAACCCCUGAGAUCGGAAUAAUUCUUUGGUGAAGAGCAAGGUUCUCAGGGCCGCUCCUGAAUCAACAUCUUGCAUCCUUCGUUAGGCCGUAGGCGUCAUCCAUAAAGUACGUCACGCUCUAAGGGGAGGGGGGGGGGGGGUGGAGAGUUGUCGCAAGUGUGACAAGGGAGAGGGGGGGGGGUACGUGAGACUGUGACGUGAUAAUCGGACAUGGUAAUAAUCCGUGACGUGGUAAUCACUUUGGCAUAAAAGUUGUGCGCAUGCAGUGCUGCUGGGGGGCUAUCGGAACACUUGUUUAUAAGUGUUAAAUAAUAUGUUUACACUACUUGGGCCAAAAACUUUCAAAAACGAAAGAUUAAAAAAUGUAUUAUGUGCGCUCACAGCUCCAUACGCGGAUAAGACAAUUUACCAUGUCAAAUUAUCCUAUGCGCCAAAGUAAACAAUAUUGAUUGUUUACAUUGGCGCAUUGGUUAAUUUGGCAUCGUAAAUUAUCCUACCCGCCACCCAUCUGACAGAAUGCUCAUUGGUAAAUAACGGCUUCUCUCUCCUCUCACGCG